rnacentral:rRNA from 1 species
GAAGGCAGCAGGCGCGUAAAUUACCCAAUCCUGAUUCAGGGAGGUAGUGACAAGAUAUAACGACGCGACCAAAAAUCGCGAUUGUAGUGAGGGUAUUCCAAACCGAACCACUAGUACGAUUGGAGGGCAAGUCUGGUGCCAGCAGCCGCGGUAAUUCCAGCUCCAAUAGCGUAUAUUAAAGUUGUUGCAGUUAAAAAGCUCGUAGUUGGAUUUCAAGGGUCACAGUGUGUUCGCACAUUGUACUCUACCAGUCUUUGACUGUUACUGUGAGAAAAUUAGAGUGUUUCAAGCAGGCUAUUGCAGGAAUACAUUAGCAUGGAAUA